UUAAAAUAAUGACUACUAAAAAGCUGCUUAAUUUUUUCACGAACUGCCCCAUCCCGCUCUCACUUCACUGCUUCACUGUUCAUCCUCCAUAGCCAAACUCAGCAAAGAAAACCUACAAAUUCCUCAAAACUGCUUCGCUGGUUUUUUUUUUUUUUGUGUGUGGUUUGUGCAAUUCGAAUGAAGGGAGAGCGCCCCCUAUGGAAACCUCGCUAGUGGUCUUGCGUGGUGGUGUGAGGCACGGCGUCGUGGUUGUUUGCAGCGACAUGGACUCAGAUCUCAUGCGCAACAGAACAGAUUCCCUUCAUCUCCAGAUCUGACUUUCAGAUCUACAAAGGCAGAAACGAGGAACAACUUGAAGAGGGGAGACAAAUCAAUUUCAUGUGGGAGAUGGGGCGGAGGAGAGAGAAACACAAAUUUGUUGUGCGCGGGUGAUAGUAACAGUGGCACACGAUGAUGGUGAUUGGGAAGGUGAUGGCAACACGACAACACGAAGGUAGAGAGAGUUACAAGUAAAAUAUAAUGAAUCAUAAGUAGUGAUAUUAAGCCUAAAAAUAAAGGAGGCUUUCCUUCAUAUUCCAAAAUAUAAAUUGUAUUUUGCAUUAGUUUUUUUGGAAUAUAAAAGGGGUGCUUCUUUAUUUUUAUAGGCUGCAGGAACAAACACGGUAAAUUGAUCUAAUGAGUUAUUUUUAUAAAUUAUUUCUUAAAACGGGUCUCUUUUGGAACUAAUUACUUAGAGUUUCUUUUUAGAGCAUUCUGCCACUAUGAAUGGCAACACAUGUGAACAGUGGCUGAUGUGGCACGGGUUUCGCCAUUGGUAUUGGCGAAACAAGUGCAAGUAGGUACAGCUAGCUAGGUGCAGGUGUAUUGCAGUUCCGCCAUUUUGAGUGGCAAAACAUGUGUAGACUGGGUCUUUAAAUAGCAAGUUUCUUUCAUGCUUUGUUGUGCCUUAAAAUUUCUACUUAACUUUUUGUACAUUGAAAUAAAUUAAAAUAAAUAUAUGCAAAAACAAAUUUAAAUUAAA